rnacentral:rRNA from 1 species
UACGGAGGGUGCGAGCGUUGUCCGGAAUCACUGGGCGUAAAGGGCGCGUAGGCGGCCUGAUAAGUAGGGGGUGAAAUCCUGCGGCUUAACCGCAGGGCUGCCUUCUAAACUGUCAGGCUUGAGCACGGUAGAGGCAGAUGGAAUUCCCGGUGUAGCGGUGGAAUGCGUAGAGAUCGGGAAGAACAUCAGUGGCGAAGGCGGUCUGCUGGGCCGUUGCUGACGCUGAGGCGCGACAGCGUGGGGAGCAAACAGG